rnacentral:rRNA from 1 species
GACGUAGGGGACAAGCGUUAUCCGGAUUUACUGGGCGUAAAGCGCCCGUAGGCGGCCUGACAAGUUGGACGUGAAAGCUCCUGGCUUAACUGGGAGAGGCCGUUCAAAACUGUCAAGCUAGAGUCUGGAAGAGGAGAGCGGAAUUCCCGGUGUAGUGGUGGAAUGCGUAGAGAUCGGGAGGAACACCAGUGGCGAAAGCGGCUCUCUGGUCCAAAACUGACGCUGAGGGGCGAAAGCGUGGGGAGCGAACGGG